GCCAGGGUGUUGGAAUUGGUAGACAAGCGUCGCUCAGAACGGCGUAUCCCUUAUACGGAUGUGCGGGUUCGACUCCCGCCCUUGGCA
rnacentral:tRNA from 1 species